rnacentral:rRNA from 1 species
GGAGUGAGACCGUAGACGAGUAGACGUACUACAUGCAAGUCGAGGGGCAUCACGAGGUAGCAAUACUUUGGUGGCGACCGGCGUACGGGUGCGUAACACGUAUGCAACCUUCCUGUAAGUGUGGGAUAGCCUCCUGAAAGGGAGAUUAAUACCUCAUGAUAUGUAUUUGCUGCAUGGCAUUUACAUUAAACAUUUAUGGCUUACAGAUGGGCAUGCGUUCCAUUAGGCAGUUGGUGUGGUAACGGCUCACCAAACCUACGAUGGAUAGGGGUUCUGAGAGGAAGGUCCCCCACACUGGAACUGAGACACGGUCCAGACUCCUACGGGAGGCAGCAGUGAGGAAUAUUGGUCAAUGGGCGCGAGCCUGAACCAGCCACGUCGCGUGAAGGAUGACGGCCUUAUGGGUUGUAAACUUCUUUUACAGGGGAAUAAAGUGAGUCACGUGUGAUUUUUUGCAUGUACCCUGUGAAUAAGCAUCGGCUAACUCCGUG